rnacentral:misc_RNA from 1 species
CUGAAAGAGCAUAUGUUUACAAGCGGAUACCUACAGCAGGAUGCAAUAUUCCAUUCCAGAUUGAUACUUCAGCUGAUGAUAAUGAUGAAGGUAGCUGCUUGAAAUCUGGUGUUUACACGGUAGAUGGUGAUGAGACUGUGCCUGCAUUAAGCGCAGGAUUCAUGUGUGCAAAAGGAUGGCGAGGAAAAACUAGAUUUAAUCCCUCUGGUAUCAAAACUUAUAUAAGGGAGUAUUUUCAUGCUCCCCCUGCAAACCUUCUUGAGGGUCGUGGUACACAGAGUGGUGCACAUGUUGAUAUAAUGGGAAAUUUCGCUUUGAUAGAGGAUGUAAUGAGAGUUGCUGCUGGUGGAACAAGUAAAAACUUGGGAGGUGAUCAAGUUUACUCAGAUAUCUUCAAGUGGUCUGAGAAGAUCAAUUUACGUUUGUGAUUAUCUGUCGAAACUCACCAGUUUCAUUGUGUCAACAUACCAGCUUGACAUGUUAUUUAUGAACUUACAUACCCUUUCCACUGGAUGCCAUUCAAAUAUUCAGAAAUGAACAGGUAUUUUUCCAGAUAUAGUGCAGGAUUUAUUACUUCCGGUGGUGUAAAUUGUAACAUUAACGCAGCUCAUCUCGCUAUGCAACAACAAAGAAUAAUAGGUGUGUAGUAGGGAUUGAGUUUGAUGUUGUACCAUUAAAGCUUAUAAUUAGCAGUGUAAGUGAAAGCUGUCGUACUACAGG